rnacentral:lncRNA from 1 species
UCGAUAAUGGCAUGUCCUAAAAUAAUCCUAUACCUGAAGGUACACCUGAAUUUUCACUUAGAUUUUGCCAAUUGUAUAGUUCCUGUGUUUCUCAGACCAAGCUUAGGUAACUACUUGUCAUACAAUCACUGUGCUCCUCAGAUCAAGCUAAAGGUUCUUACCAAACUUACUGCUACUCAGGUAAAAACUGAGUAACUAUACCAAGAUCUUUCACCUUGGGCUUUUACCAAAAUAUUUACUGCUCAGGCCAAAUCUGAGUAACCAAAGAUCUUUCUAAAC